rnacentral:rRNA from 1 species
UACGAAGGGGGCUAGCGUUGCUCGGAAUCACGGGGCGUAAAGCGCACGUAGGCGGCUUUCUAAGUCAGGGGUGAAAUCCUGGAGCUCAACUCCAGAACUGCCUUUGAUACUGGAGAGCUUGAGUCCGGGAGAGGUGAGUGGAACUCCGAGUGUAGAGGUGAAAUUCGUAGAUAUUCGGAAGAACACCAGUGGCGAAGGCGGCUCACUGGCCCGGUACUGACGCUGAGGUGCGAAAGCGUGGGGAGCAAACAGG